rnacentral:rRNA from 1 species
CACGUGAGUACCUGCCCCUGAGUCCGGAACAACCACUGGAAACGGUGGCUAAUGCCGGAUGUGACCAUGGUUAAAGCCUUCGGGCGCUCGGGGAUGGGCUCGCGGCGGAUUAGGUAGUUGGCGGGGUAAAGGCCCACCAAGCCGACGAUCCGUAGCUGGCCUGAGAGGGUGGUCAGCCACACUGGGACUGAGACACGGCCCAG